GUGGAGUACUAAAUGUACAUUGAUAUAUCUCUUUUUCUUUCUUUUAUGUUUGAAUGUGGUCUAUUAAAUGUUGUAAAGUUAUUACUCAGGUGAAGUGACUGUAGUAGCAUAAGAAAGAAAUAUCUGAGUAUAGAGUUUACAGAAUGAGAAGAGAUGUUUACAGAAUGAGAAGAGAUCAUUGUGUUUACAAUUUUAUUUUCAUUUUAGCUCAUGUUAUUUUUGAGUUUCUCUUCUAUAAAGUAAAGCUACAUUGCCAUUGAUAGCAAGAUUAUGAUAGCCUUUAUAUCUAUUAACUUAUGCCAAAGUACUGACAAUUACCUUUUUCCAGCCCUUUGGGAUAUUUUUCUUAGCAAUAAGGAAAUUGGUUUCUGGCAUUACUGCAGAUAUGAGUGGGAAGUUUGCCUUCUGGCUUAAGUUCUUUUUGCCAGUUUAGUUGAUAAUGAUGCUGAGCUAUUGUUUCUUAAAUCCUUCAAUUUUUCCAGUUUUCUUGAAAUGAGGGCCUAUUAUUUUUCUUGGAAGCAGUUUCUUUGUAUUGUUGCUUGCAGUACAAAGGUCUAGGUUAUAUAUGUUUAUCGAAUAUUCAUCCUUCGGCAAUCAAUAUAGGCCUGUUCAGGGGUGGGAUCUAUGUUUGUUUCACCCUUUGGUUUCACUUGUAUUU
rnacentral:lncRNA from 1 species